rnacentral:RNase_P_RNA from 1 species
GAAGCAAGCCAGACCGCCGCUGGGGCAGGCGUGGAAACACGGCCCUGGAGGAAGGUCCGGACUGCAUAGAGCGGCGUAGCAGCUAACGGCUGUCCGGCGAAAGCCGAGGAUCAGAGCAACAGAGACGAGCCGGUUAAGUCCGGGUGAAACGGGCAAUCUCUACGCGCAGCAACACCAAGUAGGCCAGCGUUGAUGCGGCUCGCAGAGCUGGCGGGUAGGUGGCACCGAGCCGGGCAGCGAUGUCCGGCCCAGAGGAAUGGCGGUCACGCCGGGGGCAACCCCGGUGCACAGAAUCCGGCCUAUCGGCUUGCUUCACUC